AGAAGUACUGCCUGCUCCAUGGGCUGCCCUGGUGACUCAGACAGUAAAGAAUCUGCCUGCAAUGAGGGAGACCCAGGUGAAAGUGGUGGAGAAGCCUAGUCCACGUGACAAGCUGUCUCACCUAUCAAACCCCUGCUUGCAGCAGGAGCUUGAACAAAUACCACUGAGUCAGCCCCUACUCCAAAUAAAUGAUGAAAUGAUCAUGUACCAUGUGGAUCUACUAUCCCUGCCCCAGACGCCAUUGCCCCGCACUGGGUUGACGCGGUUUCUGUCCGCACAGCCUCCCUGCCUUUGGGGGGCCCUCCUCUCUUCUUCUGUGUGGCUCUGGGGAGGCUGAGUCCUAGGACCUACCCAUCUGGCUGCACAUGCAGCAUAUGUAAGGUAGCUUGCAAUAAAACUUUUUCCCUUUUGUU